AGACUCCGGUACACGAUCAAUGUACAUCAAUGAGCUUGCAACUCACUAUGAACUUCACUACAGAGCC
rnacentral:tRNA from 2 species